rnacentral:rRNA from 1 species
GAUGAACGCUGGCGGCGUGCCUAAUACAUGCCAGUCGAGCGAACAGACGAGGAGCUUGCUCCUCUGACGUUAGCGGCGGACGGGUGAGUAACACGUGGAUAACCUACCUAUAAGACUGGGAUAACUUCGGGAAACCGGAGCUAAUACCGGAUAAUAUAUUGCACCGCAUGGUUCAAUAGUGAAAGACGGUUUUGCUGUCACUUAUAGAUGGAUCCGCGCCGCAUUAGCUAGUUGGUAAGGUAACGGCUUACCAAGGCAACGAUGCGUAGCCGACCUGAGAGAGUGAUCGGCCACACUGGAAGUGAGACACGGUCCAUACUCCUGCGGGAGGCAGCAGUAGGGAAUCUUCCGCAAUGGGCGAAAGCCUGACGGAGCAACGCCGCGUGAGUUAUGAAGGUCUUCGGAUCGUAAAACUCUGUUAUUAGGGAAGAACAAAUGUGUAAGUAACUAUGCACGUCUUGACGGUACCUAAUCAGAAAGCCACGGCUAACUACGUG